rnacentral:rRNA from 1 species
ACUUGUACAGGUGCUGCUGGCUGUCGUCAGCUCGUGCCGUGAGGUGUUGGGUUAAGUCCCGCAACGAGCGCAACCCCUACUAUUAGUUGCCACCAGGUUAUGCUGAGCACUCUAAUAGGACUGCCUACGCAAGUAGUGAGGAAGGUGGGGAUGACGUCAAGUCCGCAUGGCCCUUACGCCUAGGGCCACACACGUGCUACAAUGGAUGUUACAAUGGGUAGCUAAACCGCAAGGUGGAGCCAAUCCUACAAAGGCAUCCUCAGUUCGGAUUGGAGUCUGCAACUCGACUCCAUGAAGUUGGAAUUGCUAGUAAUCGUGGAUCAGCACGCCACGG